CACGUAGGGGGCGAGCGUUGUCCGGAUUUAUUGGGCGUAAAGAGCUCGUAGGCGGCUCAGUUAGUCGGGUGUGAAACCCCCGGGCUCAACCCGGGGACGCCACCCGAUACUGCUGUGGCUAGAGUCCGGUAGGGGAGCGUGGAAUUCCUGGUGUAGCGGUGAAAUGCGCAGAUAUCAGGAGGAACACCAGCGGCGAAGGCGGCGCUCUGGGCCGGUACUGACGCUGAGGAGCGAAAGCGUGGGGAGCGAACAGG
rnacentral:rRNA from 1 species